rnacentral:rRNA from 1 species
UACGAGUGGUGCAAGCGUUAUUCGGAAUCAUUGGGCGUAAAGGGUGUGUAGACGGCGCUUCAAGUCAACUGUUUAAUUCUCCGGCCUAACCGGAGGCCAGCGGUAGAAACUAGAGUGCUCGAGGGUGGAAGAGAGAAGUGGAAUUCUCGGAGUAGCGGUAAAAUGCGUAGAUCUCGAGAGGAACACCAAUGGCGAAGGCAGCUUCUUGGUCCAUUCCUGACGUUGAAACACGAAAGCGUGGGGAGCAAACAGG